AACAUCUUAUACCUGAAACUCCAGCUCAGUAUCUGCUUCCAGAGAACUCAACCUACAACAUGGAGUGAGAGGAAAUAGCAGACUCUGUAGACACAGGAAAGAUAAGUAGUGUGGCAGACAGAAGUUGAUAUAUGAACAAGGACAUUUCACUACCUAAGAUGAGUAAGAGAGACAAAGAGGAGCGGACCAUGGUUUAGUCUGAAAGAAGAUGAGGGACCCAGACUGACAGAGCAGCUGAAUCUGGAAUAUUGCCUAUCUUAUAUCGGAAGGAAAAGAGAGCAUGGCAAAACCACUCAAUGACUCUAAAAAGUUCUGCUCAAAAGAACUCCCAUUCUGUUCUCUGCUUAGGGCACAGAACUUUGUAUCCAUACUCGGCACUAAUCUCACCAUGGACCUAGGGGAAUCUUUGGAAACAGAGCACUGAUGUGUCCAGAGUGGUUGUUUUCCAAAUACAGGA